AGACCAUCUUCAAGAAAGACACAGCCUGGAGUCUGCAGCCACAAAGUCACACAUAUAAAGCAUGCAGAGUGGCAGUGGAGAUGCAUCAGCCCUUACCUGACGUACCACCCAACAUCUGUGCCACCUGAGAUGCCCCAGAAGAAAAGCAGCAGAGUGGUGGCAGUGGAGAUGCAUCAGUCCUUACCUGACGUACCACCCAACACCUGUGCCACCUGAGAUGCAACCGGA